CGGGAGCGGGGCCGCCAUUUUGUGUCAGGGCUGGCGGGAAAGGCGGGAAAGGAGGCAGCGGGCGGGCGGCGGGCAGGCACCGAGCGCAGCCCCAGCGCGGCCCCCGCCGGGCACCAAACAGCUCCCAGCGGCCUCAUAACGCAGGCCCUGAGCAGCGGGCAGCAUGGCCCGCACCAAGCAGACGGCUCGUAAGUCUACGGG